rnacentral:rRNA from 1 species
AUUGAACGCUGGCGGCAGGCCUAACACAUGCAAGUCGAGCGGGGUUUUCGGACCUAGCGGCGGACGGGUGAGCAAUGCGUAGGAAGCUACCCGAUAGAGGGGGAUACCAGUUGGAAACGACUGUUAAUACCGCAUAAUGUCUACGGACCAAAGUGUGGGCCCUUCGGGCCACAUGCUAUCGGAUGCGCCUACGUGGGAUUAGCUAGUUGGUGAGGUAAUGGCUCACCAAGGCGACGAUCUCUAGCUGGUUUGAGAGGAUGAUCAGCCACACUGGAACUGAGACACGGUCCCGACUCCUACGGGAGGCAGCAGUGGGGAAUAUUGGACAAUGGGCGCAAGCCUGAUCCAGCCACGCCGCGUGUGUGAAGAAGGCCUUCGGGUUGUAAAGCACUUUCAGUAGGGAGGAAGGGUUAAGUGUUAAUAGUACUUAGCUUUGACGUUACCUACAGAAGAAGCACCGGCUAACUCUGUGCCAGCCGCCGCGGUAA